GCCCGGGGUUGCGUCACAUGCCCCCUGCAGCGGCUGAGGCAGCACCAGAGAGGCUGAACGUGGAUACCUGCUGCAUUCUCGGGGGCACUGUGACUGGUCCAGCCAGGAGCCACUCUUGUAGAAACAAAGUGCUGGCUUCUUUGGUCCCUCAAGAGACAGAAAACUGUCCAGGGGGAAAAAAAAAACUUGCCAGGUUCCUUGCACACUUCCGUCAGGUGGUGAUAAUCUUUGUUACUGCUAAUUCAAGAUGGAUUUGAAGCAGAGAACUAAUCCUCCUUAUCCUGUCAACAGUACCUUGAGCCCUUCAGUCUUCAGAAAGUAAGUACAUGAUGGGUUUGAUUCUUCUCUCACUUGCUACGGCUUCAUCAUGACUGGAAGUGCUCUGGAUUUAUGAUCAUGAAAACAUGAUUGGAAAUCAAAUUAAUGACUUGAAUACUGGGAUGGAAAGCAUGCUUAUAUGCAGAUGAUACCAAGCUGGGUGAGACUGUUAGCACUUGAGGGGCAGCCUUUGAAUUGACAAUUACUUUACUUAAUUUCAUUUUAUUGAUUUUUAAAUUUGUCAAAGACAAGUGAAAAAUACUACACUUAAAGAAAAAUCAAAUGCACAAAUUAAAAUUACCAGCUAGGCAGCAGUACUGCUGAAAAGGAUGUAGGUAUUACACUGGAUCUCACAUGGAAUGAUUCAACAGUGUGAUACAGUUGUGAAAAAUGCUAAUAUCAUUCUGCAGUGUAUUAGCAGGAGCAUUAUACAUAAGACACAAGACAUGAAUUGUCCCAGUUGACUCAGCACCAAGCCCUCAUCUGGAGUACUGUGUCCUGCUAU